rnacentral:rRNA from 1 species
UACAGAGGUCUCAAGCGUUGUUCGGAUUCAUUGGGCGUAAAGGGGUGCGUAGGUGGCGCGGUAAGUCGGGGUGUGAAAUUUCGGAGCUUAACUCCGAAACUGCAUUCGAUACUGCCGUGCUUGAGGACUGGAGAGGAGACUGGAAUUUACGGUGUAGCAGUGAAAUGCGGUAGAUAUCGUAAGGAAGACCAGUGGCGAAGGCGGG